UACGAAGGAUGCAAGCGUUAUCCGGAUUCAUUGGGUUUAAAGGGAGCGUAGGUGGCCUUAUAAGUCAGUGGUGAAAUCUCCGAGCUUAACUCGGAAAGGUCAACUGAUACUGCGGGGCUAGAGUGCGGAAGGGGCAACCGGAAUUCUUGGUGUAGCGGUGAAAUGCGUAGAUAUCAAGAGGAACACCUGAGGUGAAGACGGGUUGCUGGGCUGACACUGACGCUGAGGCGCGAAAGCUAGGGUAGCAAACGGG
rnacentral:rRNA from 1 species